rnacentral:tRNA from 1 species
GGGGAGGUGGUUCAAUAGUAGAGUGCUUGCCUUGCGUGCAUGAGGCCCUGGGUUCAAUUCCUCAGCACCACCU